GACAGAGGGUGCAAACGUUGUUCGGAAUCACUGGGCGUAAAGCGCACGUAGGCGGAUUUUUAAGUCAGGGGUGAAAUCCUGGAGCUCAACUCCAGAACUGCCUUUGAUACUGGGAAUCUCGAGUCCGGGAGAGGUGAGUGGAACUGCGAGUGUAGAGGUGAAAUUCGUAGAUAUUCGCAAGAACACCAGUGGCGAAGGCGGCUCACUGGCCCGGUACUGACGCUGAGGAGCGAAAGCGUGGGGAGCGAACAGG
rnacentral:rRNA from 1 species